GCCAGCUCCUUAAUCAUCUGGAGACAGCCGGCCGGCUCCCCUGGCCACACCCCAGGCCAGGGCAGGCAGAGGCCAGGCCAGGGCCAGGAAGUGGCCACCACCAGGUCCUCAGCUACAGGCCAACCCAGUUCAGGACCUCCCUUUGGUUGGGCUCUUAAGGCAUCACCCUGCUUGUGGCCUCAGGGGCUCUCCAUGGCCCAUGAGAAAGAACCUACAUACUCCAGCAUGAUAUGAAUGAGCCAACUUGGGCCUCAGCCCAUUCUGUGACCUCAAGGCCCAUCUGAUCCCACAUGACAGCCACGGAGGGCACCCUGCUGUUCUUUGAGUGAGAACUUGCAGCACUGUGUUGGCAGAGAUGAAAGAGUGUAUUCUUGGCUUAACCCCAUGAUGAGAUUAUGUGCAGUUCUUUUUCUGGUGUUAAAGACCAGUUCCUGGCAUAGUAAUCAACCACUGAAUGCCAUAAACACCAGCAUCACUGGAAAGUUUCCUGGUAAACACUUUUGAGAAAGUCCAAUUUUAUUAUGAAUGAGUGACAGAAGAAAGGAACUUGGCUGGAAGAGCAAAGAAAGACACUGUCACCCAGCCUCCUAGGGAGAGUUUCUUCCUUUGGAAGCAUGGUGUUCAGACCCCUCUUCAUCUGGAUCCCCCUCUGUCGGUCAACAUCCUGUUUAACUCAGUGAGCUCACAGAGAACACCACACAUCAAGGAUGGUGUGGUACCCACAAGAUCUUCCUCAGUGAUGACUUCCACAUUUCCCAUUCCAUUUGUUUUUUACGAAGUUUGUAGUCAAUUAAAAUUCUUGUGCCUUUUGUGCAUCCGUUUCCUAUAUCAUGGGCAUCUGGAUUUGGUUGUUUCUUUUGCAUGUCAAAGAUUUUGCAUUAAGGCUAAAUUUUU
rnacentral:lncRNA from 1 species